AGAGAUGGAAGCGCUGCGCACGG
rnacentral:miRNA from 1 species